rnacentral:rRNA from 1 species
GACAGAGGUGCCGAGCGUUAGGCGGAAUCACUGGGCUUAAAGCGUGUGUAGGCGGGCCGUUAAGUGUCUUGUGAAAUCCCCCCGGCUCAACCGGGGAAUUGCUGGGCAUACUGGCGGUCUUGAGCAGUCUAGGGGCAGAUGGAACAAGUGGUGGAGCGGUGAAAUGCGUAGAUAUCACUUGGAACGCCAAAGGUGAAGACAGGCAACUGGGAGUGCGCCGACGCUGAGACGCGAAAGCCAGGGGAGCAAACGGG